rnacentral:rRNA from 1 species
CAGUCGCCGCGGGAAUACGGAGGGUGCAAGCGUUAAUCGGAAUUACUGGGCGUAAAGCGCACGCAGGCGGUCUGACAAGUCAGAUGUGAAAUCCCCGGGCUCAACCUGGGAAUGGCAGUGGAUACUGGCAAGCUAGAGUGUGUCAGAGGAUGGUGGAAUUCCCGGUGUAGCGGUGAAAUGCGUAGAGAUCGGGAGGAACAUCAGUGGCGAAGGCGGCCAUCUGGGACAACACUGACGCUGAGGCACGAAAGCGUGGGGAGCAAACAGGAUUAGAUACCCCUGUAGUCCCUGUUUCUUAUAC